rnacentral:rRNA from 1 species
CCUACGGGAGGCAGCAGUGAGGAAUAUUGGUCAAUGGACGAGAGUCUGAACCAGCCAAGUAGCGUGAAGGAUGACUGCCCUAUGGGUUGUAAACUUCUUUUAUAUGGGAAUAAAAUGUUCCACGUGUGGGAUUUUGUAUGUACCAUAAGAAUAAGGAUCGGCCAACUCCGUGCCAGCAGCCGCGGUAAUACGGAGGAUCCGAGCGUUAUCCGGAUUUAUUGGGUUUAAAGGGAGCGUAGGUGGAUUGUUAAGUCAGUUGUGAAAGUUUGCGGCUCAACCGUAAAAUUGCAGUUGAAACUGGCAGUCUUGAGUACAGUAGAGGUGGGCGGAAGUCGUGGUGUAGCGGUGAAAUGCUUAGAUAUCACGAAGAACACCGAUUGCGAAGGCAGUUCACUGGACUGCAACUGACACUGAGGCUCGAAAGUGUGGGUAUCAAACAGGAUUAGAUACCCUAGUAGUC